rnacentral:rRNA from 1 species
CCUACGGGUGGCAGCAGUGGGGAAUAUUGGACAAUGGGCGAAAGCCUGAUCCAGCCAUGCCGCGUGUGUGAAGAAGGCCUUCGGGUUGUAAAGCACUUUCAGUGGGGAAGAAAGCCUUGGGGCUAAUACCCUCGAGGAAGGACAUCACCCACAGAAGAAGCACCAGCUAACUCCGUGCCAGCAGCCGCGGUAAUACGGAGGGUGCGAGCGUUAAUCGGAAUUACUGGGCGUAAAGCGCGCGUAGGCGGUCUGAUAAGCCGGUUGUGAAAGCCCCGGGCUCAACCUGGGAACGGCAUCCGGAACUGUCAGGCUAGAGUGCAGGAGAGGAAGGUAGAAUUCCCGGUGUAGCGGUGAAAUGCGUAGAGAUCGGGAGGAAUACCAGUGGCGAAGGCGGCCUUCUGGACUGACACUGACGCUGAGGUGCGAAAGCGUGGGUAGCAAACAGGAUUAGAUACCCGGGUAGUC